GCAUGCGUUAGCGCGUGAAAAAACAGAAGCAGUAAGAAGUAUGCUGCUGGAUAGUGUCGAGCNACUCGGCUACGAACCGAGCGGUCGGAGGUUCGAAUCCUCCCGGAUGCACCA
rnacentral:tRNA from 1 species